ACCCCUAUGUGAAACGCCCGGUUGCUGAGAAUUUUGAGGGAGUUAGAAUCUUGGCGCUGACAGAAACGUCUCGUCAGACAUUUGUAAGUUAGGCGAUUAUGGCGUCAGUGCUGCCUUACCAAUUUGAACCAGAAUCCGACCCCGAAAGCGAUAAUGGAGCUGAUGGAGCCAAUGAUGAGCGCGAUGUUAGUCGUAGAUUGGACCAAGACGUUUCACUGUGGUGCACUUGUGGGAAUUGUGCCACUAUGCCUAGUGAAGUGGAGAACGUCUGCUGCAGAGAAAUCACAAAGGUAGUAAGACGAAUGAGCCAAGUGCCAAUACCCAUAAUGUGCAUGACAGAACAUCCAGGCCUAGAACCUGUGUGUCUAAACCCAUACAGUCUGCAAAAUAUCUACAACAUUUACAAAUAUGAUUACGGACCUGUUAGGCACAGAACAGAAGAAGAAUAAUAUCAAUCAACUUGCUGUUUUGUUGUUUUGAUUGAGUAAAGGCGUUUGAGGCAUCUUGCCUAUCGCAGCUUUGUAAGCUGGUGCUGGGGCUACUUAGGACCUAGUCGUCGGGUCAUCAUCCCGUCAUGUGUGGUGCAGCGGAUACGGCAGCAGUUCCCGUCUGGUGAUUACAUAGGCUUCAGACCACCUAUUGAUUGAAGCGGGAGACGUGACGGGCAACCAGCUCAGCCUUUGGAGUUUUCGGGAAUUCUGCUGAGAGGUCUGGAGGGAUGGGGAUGGUCUUCAAUUCCUCUGCAAAAGA